UACGUAUGGUGCAAGCGUUAUCCGGAUUUACUGGGUGUAAAGGGAGCGUAGACGGCUGUGUAAGUCUGAAGUGAAAGUCCGGGGCUCAACCCCGGGACUGCUUUGGAAACUAUGCAGCUAGAGUGUCGGAGAGGUAAGUGGAAUUCCCAGUGUAGCGGUGAAAUGCGUAGAUAUUGGGAGGAACACCAGUGGCGAAGGCGGCUUACUGGACGAUGACUGACGUUGAGGCUCGAAAGCGUGGGGAGCAAACAGG
rnacentral:rRNA from 1 species